rnacentral:rRNA from 1 species
GAUGAACGCUGACAGAAUGCUUAACACAUGCAAGUCUACUUGAAUUUGGGUUUUUAACUUAGAUUUGGGUGGCGGACGGGUGAGUAACGCGUAAAGAACUUGCCUCACAGCUAGGGACAACAUUUAGAAAUGAAUGCUAAUACCUAAUAUUAUGAUAAUAGGGCAUCCUAUAAUUAUGAAAGCUAUAUGCGCUGUGAGAGAGCUUUGCGUCCCAUUAGCUAGUUGGAGAGGUAACGGCUCACCAAGGCGAUGAUGGGUAGCCGGCCUGAGAGGGUGAUCGGCCACAAGGGGACUGAGACACGGCCCUUACUCCUACGGGAGGCAGCAGUGGGGAAUAUUGGACAAUGGACCGAGAGUCUGAUCCAGCAAUUCUGUGUGCACGAUGAAGUUUUUCGGAAUGUAAAGUGCUUUCAGUUGGGAAGAAAGAAAUGACGGUACCAACAGAAGAAGUGACGGCUAAAUACGUGCCAGCAGCCGCGGUAAUACGUAUGUCACGAGCGUUAUCCGGAUUUAUUGGGCGUAAAGCGCGUCUAGGUGGUUAUAUAAGUCUGAUGUGAAAAUGCAGGGCUCAACUCUGUAUUGCGUUGGAAACUGUAUAACUAGAGUACUGGAGAGGUAAGCGGAACUACAAGUGUAGAGGUGAAAUUCGUAGAUAUUAGGAGGAAUACCGGUGGCGAAGGCGACUUUCUGGACUUUUACUGACGCUCAGGUACGAAAGCGUGGGGAGCAAACAGG